UACGGGGGGAGCAAGCGUUGUUCGGAUUUACUGGGCGUAAAGGGCGCGUAGGCGGUCAGCACAAGUCAGUUGUGAAAUCUCCGGGCUUAACUCGGAAAGGUCAACUGAUACUGUGCGACUAGAGUGCAGAAGGGGCAACAGGAAUUCCUGGUGUAGCGGUGAAAUGCGCAGAUAUCAGGAGGAACACCGGUGGCGAAGGCGGGUCUCUGGGCCGAUACUGACGCUGAGGAGCGAAAGCGUGGGGAGCGAACAGG
rnacentral:rRNA from 1 species